GGAUGUGAGUGUGGUCUGGCUGUGACGUCUUUAUCAUCCAAUGGAUCAUCAGGGUUGAUUCAGAUGAUCUGACUGGCUAGGCUCAUUCCUCCACUCCUCCGUAUGUGUCCAUCCCAGAAUCGCACACUUGCUGGGAAAUUAUAGCUAUCUCAGAAGGAGCAUGCCAUUCUUCAGUCAAAGGUCACAACACAGAGUUACAACACUUGCCAGAGUUCAUUGAUAAGGUGCACAUUGUGGAUGCAUGCCUAGCUAG
rnacentral:snRNA from 1 species